GUCGAACGAUGAAACUUAAAUGAUUUCUUCGAGAAUGAACUUAAGUGGAUUAGUGGCGGACGGGUGAGUAACGCGUGAGUAACCUGCCUUACACAAGGGGAUAGCCGUUGGAAACGACGAAUAAUACCCUAUGAUGUUUCUAUCUCGCAUGAGAUAUUAACCAAAGUGUUAGCGGUGUAAGAUGGACUUGCGUCUGAUUAGCUAGUUGGUGAGAAAAAAGCCCACCAAGGCAACGAUCAGUAGCCGGCUUGAGAGAGUGUACGGCCACAUUGGGACUGAGACACGGCCCAGACUCCUACGGGAGGCAGCAGUGGGGAAUUUUGCACAAUGGGGGAAACCCUGAUGCAGCGACGCCGCGUGAUUUAGAAGGCCUUCGGGUUGUAAAAAUCUUUUGUAUAGGAAGAAAAUGACAGUACUAUACGAAUAAGGUCCGGCUAAUUACGUGCCAGCAGCCGCGGUAAUACGUAAGGACCGAGCGUUGUCCGGAAUCAUUGGGCGUAAAGGGUACGUAGGCGGGUCAUUAAGUUAGAAGUCAAAGGCUAUAGCUCAACUAUAGUAAGCUUCUAAAACUGGAGACCUUGAGUAAUGGAAGGGAAAGUGGAAUUCCUAGUGUAGCGGUGGAAUGCGCAGAUAUUAGGAGGAAUACCGGUGGCGAAGGCGACUUUCUGGC
rnacentral:rRNA from 1 species